rnacentral:rRNA from 1 species
UACGUAGGGUGCAAGCGUUGUCCGGAAUUAUUGGGCGUAAAGAGCUCGUAGGCGGUCUGUCGCGUCGAAUGUGAAAACCCGGGGCUCAACCCCGGGCCUGCAUUCGAUACGGGCAGACUAGAGUUCGGUAGGGGAGUCUGGAAUUCCUGGUGUAGCGGUGAAAUGCGCAGAUAUCAGGAGGAACACCGGUGGCGAAGGCGGUUCUCUAGUACGGUACUGACGCUGAGACGCGAAAGCGUGGGGAGCGAACAGG